rnacentral:lncRNA from 1 species
AUGAAUGAAUCUUUAUUUGCAUCAGCCAUCGGCCAUAGCAACAAAACAACAAUAGGAUAGACAAAGAAUAGAAAUAAAAAGUCAAUUGUAUAAAACACAUUAUAGGGUUUUGGAUCAAUAGUCAAAUAGUGGAAUAUUAUUCUCAUUGCCCCAGCUAAAAACCUUGCAUGCGGAUAUAAAUAAAGCAUAAAAUGGCCCCAAAAUAGGCUCAGCACAUUAAGUUAAAAAGGUAAUAAAAAUUAAACAGGUCCGGGACUAGGGCACACUACCCUGUCAGAGUAGCCCUGAGUUUCAGAGCCUGCACUGUGAAGAUUGCCACCCCACGUGAAAUUUGGGGAUUUGCGUCCACAAGAAGUGCUUUCAAACAGUCUUCCUUAGAUGAAAUGGAGGACGGGAUCAAGAGGAGGAGCUUAGGUCUUAUUGGGUCAUAAAUAGGGCAGUAGAAAAAGAAAUGUAUGAAGUCCUCUACUUCAUUCAUUGUGCAUGGACAUAGACGCUGAGUAAUAGGGGUCUUAGAGUAGGUCCCCUGCAGGAAGGCCGUGGGUAUAGAAUGAAAGCGGGCCAUUGUAAACGCUCUUCUCAAAUUGGGCUCCGUCAGGUCUAUCAAGUAGUUGGCAAGUGAUCUUACCACUUUCACUUUAGGGAGCCACAUGGAGAGGCGAGCUGAGGUGGACUGUGCCCGGUCCAUGGCCUCAUCUCUUGUAAGAAUCCAGGCCCGGAUUUUAUGUUGGUCCCAAGAUGACAACGUGUCGAAAUCUGGGAGGGAGUAGCGUACAGUAAUAGUCUCCAUGGCCUUGGACCAUUUGUUGGAGUGAGAACAAGUUAAAAAGGCUUGCCUGGCUAGUAGGGAACCUGGGGCAUUGAUUAAUUUGCAAUAAAAACUAAUAAUUCUAAUGUGGGCUCUCGCAACAAUGGAGGGGAGGCCCAGUUCUGUUCUUAACUGUGCAGCAACCGAGCCCUUGGGGAGACCCAGUAUCUUUCGUGCAAAAGAGUUUUGUAGAAUCUCCAGCCGUUGUAGUGUUUUUAAAUUCCACCCCCAGAUUUCAACCCCAUACAGUAACAUCGGGAGGACUUUGCUGAUAAAUGCUUUUCUGAUUGGUGGAACCAACUGGCCGCCUUUUGCAUAGAAGAAUUUCUCCAAGGCUUUGAUGGUUCUACGGGCAGCCAGGAUGGUCAUAUUUAGGUGAGCUGACCAGCUAAGCCCAUGCUGAAAAGUGAUUCCCAAAUACUUGAAUGCUGAGCAAUAUUCAAUAGAGUGGCCCUCAAAAUUCCAGAAUGACUUCCGAGUUUUCGUGCCAAAAGUAAGAAUUUUGGUUUUGGCGAAAUUGAUUUUGAGGGAAUUGGUAUCACAAUAUGUCAUGAGCCCUCUGAGCAUGUUGUUUAAGCCCUGCUUGGUUAAAGACAGUAUCACCAUGUCGUCCGCAUAGAGUAAUAUGGGGAUCUUAAGCUGUUGUAAAGAGGGGGCAGAUUGAUUUAGGGCCUGCAUAGUUGUAACGAUGUCGUUGAUAUAGAAAUUGAAUAGAAAAGGGGCCAAGAGGCAGCCCUGUUUGACCCCUUUAUUCAGAGAGAAAGAAUCAGAAAGAGCUCCCAGAGGGCCGAAUUUUACUCUGGCCGAUAUGUCAUUAUGAAUUUCCAUGAGAAGGAGGAGGAGUCUCUUAUCUAUGUUGGUGGAACUAAGCUUCUGCCAUAGCCUAUCUCUGGGAAUGGAGUCAAAAGCGGAGGUCAGGUCCACAAAAGCCGCGUGUAGUUUACAGUUGAACCUGUUUAGGUAUUUAUCAAUCAGGGUAAAUAGAACAAGACAUUGGCCAGAUGUGCUGUGACCUUUACGGAAGCCAGCCUGUUCCGGGUGGAAUAGCUUUGUUUCUUCUGCCCACUCGACUAAUUUCUCUAGCAAAAAUCUAGAGUAAACCUUGUAUGAUAUGUCUAGCAGGCUGAUAGGUCGAUAGUUACGCGGAUCUUGUGGGUCCCCCUUUUUAUAUAUUGGGAUGACUAUGC